rnacentral:rRNA from 1 species
AUUGAACGCUGGCGGCAGGCCUAACACAUGCAAGUCGAACGGUAACAGGAAGCAGCUUGCUGAUUUGCUGACGAGUGGCGGACGGGUGAGUAACACGUGGGUAACCUGCCUAUCAGAGGGGGAUAACACUUGGAAACAGGUGCUAAUACCGCAUAACAAUAUCAAUCGCAUGAUAGAUAUUUGAAAGGCGCUUAUGGUGUCACUGAUAGAUGGACCCGCGGUGCAUUAGCUAGUCGGUGGGGUAACGGCCUACCGAGGCGAUGAUGCAUAGCCGACCUGAGAGGGUGAUCGGCCACAUUGGGACUGAGACACGGCCCAAACUCCUACGGGAGGCAGCAGUAGGGAAUCUUCGGCAAUGGACGCAAGUCUGACCGAGCAACGCCGCGUGAGUGAAGAAGGUUUUCGGAUCGUAAAGCUCUGUUGUUAGAGAAGAACAAGUAAGAUAGUAACUGAUCUUGCCUUGACGGUAUCUAACCAGAAAGCCACGGCUAACUACGUGCCAGCCGCCGCCGUAACAC